AGUGCCACAGAACUAUCUGGGCCUCUUCCUCUACCCCUCCUUGUGUGAUCGCUCCUUUCAAAAGCAACAGCCAAAGCAGAUGCAAGGGAGAUGCAUUGGUGCUCAUAAAUUCAAGGAGCUGAAAUGGCAACAGCUGUGGCAAUUUCAGGACUUCAGCAGGUAAUCAAAUGGGUCAAAAUCAAAGUUGAUGAUCAGUCAUAUGAUCUUCAGCAGCCCUGGAAGGGUGUGAGUUCUCGGCAUCCCAUGCAGGAGCUCUGAAUGUACAAGAGGUGCUGAGGAGGGAGCAUGCGCCGAAUACCACUGCCUUCUUUCUGUGUCCAAGCAAGUUAUGACUGGAAUGGAAAGUAUAGCCACCCGGGGCUGUCAGUACCCCUACCUACUCAAUUGCAGACAUGUUGAUACAGAACAUGAUCAUCGAAUUCCAGUGAAGCCACAGUGAUGGGAGUCCAGCAUGAGUAAAAGCAAGUAGAAGGAAGAAGCCCAGAAAAACCAAAGCGCCUAAGGCCCAUGAAAGCUGUAAUGACUCCUUACCAUGAAGUUCUCUCUCCUGAUACCAUGUGGAGAAG
rnacentral:lncRNA from 1 species